rnacentral:rRNA from 1 species
AUUGAACGCUGGCGGCAGGCCUAACACAUGCAAGUCGAGCGGAUGAAGGGAGCUUGCUCCUGGAUUCAGCGGCGGACGGGUGAGUAAUGCCUAGGAAUCUGCCUGGUAGUGGAGGAUAACGUCCGGAAACGGGCGCUAAUACCGCAUACGUCCUGAGGGAGAAAGUGGGGGAUCUUCGGACCUCACGCUAUCAGAUGAGCCUAGGUCGGAUUAGCUAGUUGGUGGGGUAAAGGCCUACCAAGGCGACGAUCCGUAACUGGUCUGAGAGGAUGAUCAGUCACACUGGAACUGAGACACGGUCCAGACUCCUACGGGAGGCAGCAGUGGGGAAUAUUGGACAAUGGGCGAAAGCCUGAUCCAGCCAUGCCGCGUGUGUGAAGAAGGUCCUCGGAUUGUAAAGCACUUUAAGUUGGGAGGAAGGGCAGUAAGUUAAUACCUUGCUGUUUUGACGUUACCAACAGAAUAAGCACCGGCUAACUUCGUG